rfam:Manacus vitellinus contig46823, whole genome shotgun sequence.
AAAAAGGCUCUUUUCAGAGCCACCCACUUUGGUCAUAAAGGGCUG